rnacentral:rRNA from 1 species
UACGUAGGCAGCGAGCGUUGUUCGGAGUUACUGGGCGUAAAGCGUGCGCAGGCGGUUAUGUAAGACAGUUGUGAAAUCCCCGGGCUCAACCUGGGAACUGCAUCUGUGACUGCAUAGCUAGAGUACGGUAGAGGGGGAUGGAAUUCCGCGUGUAGCAGUGAAAUGCGUAGAUAUGCGGAGGAACACCGAUGGCGAAGGCAAUCCCCUGGACCUGUACUGACGCUCAUGCACGAAAGCGUGGGGAGCAAACAGG